rnacentral:tRNA from 1 species
GCCGCUGUGGCGGAACUGGCAGACGCGUACCGUUCAGGUCGGUAUGGGAGCAAUCUCGUGCAGGUUCAAUUCCUGUCAGCGGCA